rnacentral:rRNA from 1 species
GACGAACCGUGCGAACGUUAUUCGGAUUCACUGGGCUUAAAGCGCGUGUAGGCGGCCCGGCACGUCCGUCGCUGAAAGCCCCCGGCUCAACCGGGGAAGUGGCGCGGAUACGACCGGGCUGGAGGCCGGUAGGGGGAACCGGAACUUCCGGUGGAGCGGUGAAAUGCGUUGAGAUCGGAAGGAACGCCCGUGGCGAAAGCGGGUUCCUGGACCGGACCUGACGCUGAGACGCGAAAGCCAGGGGA